GCGUUCGUAGCUCAGUGGUAGAGCUUCCGGCUUUUAACCGGAAGGUCGAUGGUUCGAUCCCAUCCGGAUGCA
rnacentral:tRNA from 1 species